GCCUGGGUGGCUCAGUCGGUUAAGCGUCUGACUUCGGCUCAGGUCAUGAUCUCACGGUCUGUGAGUUCGAGCCCCGCGUCAGGCU
rnacentral:tRNA from 1 species